rnacentral:misc_RNA from 1 species
GCCACAUCCUUGAAGAAGACCUUGUUCUUUGCAUUUUUGUCCAUCUUCAUGAAACGCGGUUUACCAAUACCAAAUAUUCCACUAACACCUCCCCAAUCCAUGUAAUAAAGGAUAGCAAGAGGCAAUACCAUUACACCAAACUUCAUCAUUUCUGGCAACCAAUCCAACUCAUUAACAUAUACCACAGGGACAUAAUUGCGAGGGUCUAUUCCAG